AGAAUGGCACAUCAAUGCGAGCUGUGGCAAGAAGGUUUGCUGUGUCUGUCAGCGUAGUGUCCAGAGCAUGGAGGCACUACUAGGAGACCGAGGAUGAGGAUCUACUGACAAAUUAAGGAACCAAUGAUGUGCGGGCCUCAGACGCUGCAGAGAAGAUGUAGCUGGAAGAAGUCCUGGUGUCUGGACCAGAUGAGAAAGAAAAAGAAAGACAACAGAGAAGAGAUCACUUAGAGGAUGAGGAUCUGCUAACAAAGUGAGGAACCAAUGAACUUAAGACUGCAGAGAAGAUGAAGCUGGAAGAAGUCCUGGUGCACCAGAUGAAGAAGUAAAGCAAAGAGAGAGAAGACAUCAC